UGUAGUGAUGCUGAUGUAAAGAAACCUGAGCUGCCUGUUGUAUAAGAGGAUAGCACACACCAUUAUGAACAGAGUAAAGAACUAAAAUCACAGGACACUACAUACAGACGAAGUAUCAUGCUUUUGUCAAGGAGAAGGAAAAUGCAGUCCUGAUUAAUGAAUAAAUCCUGAAUUUCAUCAAAUCCAUUUCCAAUGUUGACACUUAUUUGCAAUCUACAUGCCGAACUGCAGGAAGUUCCAGGGUAGCCCACAAGCAGAUCCAAAGGUAUCCCUGAAACUGAAAGACGUUGCAGAGCUCACUGUGACCAAACAGAAGAGAAAAGAAGGACAAAGACGUGGUAAAACUAUCUGAGAUGGUGAGAAUGAGCAAAAACAACAGGGAGGAGAAGCGGCGCAGCCUAGACAAGUGGACCCUGACCCAGGAGGCCUAGGAGAAAAUGCAGGAGAAGCAGCAAAUGGAAAGGUUCCAGGAGGAAGCAUCCACCAUGCACCAGCAGAGUGUGGAGGACUUCAACACACAGCUGGAUACACUCAGGGAGCGUAUCCAAGUCAUUUGAACCAAGUCCCUCCUCACCCUGGGUGUGGAGAGCCAUUUACCUACCAGGAGCAGAAGGCCAUAUCCAGGUUAUGCUUCCUCCCUUCUUAUUUUCUGCAAACAUUGUUUUUUUACAGGCCUUUAUAUCUUCUGCUGCAACAGUGUUUUUUGAAGCUGUGUCCCAUCAUUCCAGAGCUUGAUUAAAUUAAGACUCUCCUUUUGCUCAGUUUAGAGUUCUUGGUAACUCAUAGAAAAUACACCAUUUAGUUUAGAUGAAAAGCUUUCAAAGUUUAUAUAGAGGUAAAGGCCGUUGUCAUGUAAAAAUGUCUAACUCCAUUCCUAUCUAACCGUCUGAGGCCAGCCAGCUAUCUUUGCCUGAAUGAGAGGGGCUCCUGAGAAUAAGGAGCUAAUGCCAUCC
rnacentral:lncRNA from 1 species